UACGGAGGGGGCUAGCGUUGUUCAGAAUUACUGGGCGUAAAGCGCACGUAGGCGGCUUUGUAAGUUAGAGGUGAAAGCCCGGGGCUCAACUCCGGAAUUGCCUUUAAGACUGCAUCGCUAGAAUUGUGGAGAGGUAAGUGGAAUUCCGAGUGUAGAGGUGAAAUUCGUAGAUAUUCGGAAGAACACCAGUGGCGAAGGCGACUUACUGGACACAUAUUGACGCUGAGGUGCGAAAGCGUGGGGAGCAAACAGG
rnacentral:rRNA from 1 species